rnacentral:rRNA from 1 species
AAUCAACGCUGGCGGCGUGCCUAACACAUGCAAGUCGAACGAGAAAGUGGAGCAAUCCAUGAGUACAGUGGCGCACGGGUGAGUAACACGUGACUAACCUACCCAGGAGUGGGGAAUAACUUCGGGAAACCGAGGCUAAUACCGCAUAACACCUACGGGUCAAAGGAGCAAUUCGCUUCUGGAGGGGGUCGCGGCCGAUUAGUUAGUUGGCAGGGUAAGUGGCCUACCAAGACGAUGAUCGGUAUCCGGCCUGAGAGGGCGGCACGGACACACUGGAACUGAAACAACGGUCC